GGUGGCUCAAGUGGUAGAGUGCUUGCCUUGCAUGCAUGAGGUCCUGGGUUCGAUUCCUCAGCACCA
rnacentral:tRNA from 1 species